GCGGUAAUACGUAUGUCGCAAGCGUUAUCCGGAUUUAUUGGGCGUAAAGCGCGUCUAGGCGGUUUGGUAAGUCUGAUGUGAAAAUGCGGGGCUCAACUCCGUAUUGCGUUGGAAACUGCCAAACUAGAGUACUGGAGAGGUAGGCGGAACUACAAGUGUAGAGGUGAAAUUCGUAGAUAUUUGUAGGAAUGCCGAUGGGGAAGCCAGCCUACUGGACAGAUACUGACGCUAAAGCGCGAAAGCGUGGGUAGCAAACAGGAUUAGAUACCCGGUGUCCACGCCGUANACGAUGAUUACUAGGUGUUGGGG
rnacentral:rRNA from 1 species